rnacentral:tRNA from 1 species
GCGAGAGUGGCGGAACUGGUAGACGCACUGGAUUUAGGAUCCAGCGCUUUGGCGUGGGGGUUCGAUUCCCCCCUUUCGCACCA